CUUCAGUGUUAGUAACACAUAGUCAAUUUGAGCCUGAAAGUCAAAAUUUGUAAAUGUAAAAACCUAACAGCCGGAUGCAGAAAAUGUUGAACCGCAGUUUUUUUAUUUCAUCGCUAUACACUAGUCUUGUUAUGUCAGAGUUGUGUAUCGAUCCUCUUGGUGUUGAAGAUGGGACUAUUCCUGAUGAACAGCUAUCCGCAUCAAGUGAAUUACAUUUUUGGGUUGGGGCACAUCGUGGACGACUGAACAUUGAACAAGAUAGUUUGGGGAGAGAAGCAUGGCGUCCAAAAACCAAUGACCAGUAUCAGUGGAUCCAAGUUGACCUCGGCAAACUGCAUAAGGUACAUGGAAUAAUCACACAAGGCCGCAACAACGAAUACUUCUUACACUGGGUGACGUCUUAUUAGAUUUUUUACAGUGUCGAUGGUAACCUGUUUCAACCAAUCAGGAAAACUGAUUGUCAAGUAACUAGGUUUGUUGGAAAUUCAGAUCAAGACACUAACGUGACAAACAUAUUCCCUGACCCUGUCUACGCCCAAUUCGUCCGUAUUCAUCCAGUUGACUGGCAUGGCUAUAUAAGUUUACGAUUUGAGGUUCUUGGAUGCUCAGCAGGUCCAGUGUGCUCAGAGUUGGGUGGACGCUCCACUUAUUACAAGUCUUUUCGUCGCAAUCCACAAUGUUCUGUAACGACCAAAAACUCGAAAAGAAGUUGCAUUAGAUGCGCUGUGAAGUGCAUGAGGGCGCUAGGAUGCAAGUAUUUCAAAUACGAUGGAGAAUGCCACAUUUAUACCUGCAGUAACAAUGACUAUUUUGUUGCCUUUCAGUUUGGUUAAAAUUGGCCUUUCCCUUGGAUACUGUUGCUAGGAUUCGAAAGAUUUAAACGUACGUGUGUUCAUGGAUAUACGUAUAUCUGCCUUGUCCUUAUUAGUCAGUCGCUAACUUUGAUCAUUCCAGAAAUGUUUAUUAAAUUUCUUAGAUAAUGCAUGCUUUGUAUUUGUUGCAACAAUUAUCAUUUUUCAAAAACUGAUGAAGUCUUGACUAAAUGAAACUGUGUGUGUAGUAAUUUUAGUACAAAUUCGUUCAUUAUUUUUAUUGGAUCUCAUAAAGUGGUUCGUGUUUGUAAUUUGUA